AUUGAACGCUGGCGGCAGGCCUAACACAUGCAAGUCGAACGGUAACAGGAAGAAGCUUGCUUCUUUGCUGACGAGUGGCGGACGGGUGAGUAAUGUCUGGGAAACUGCCUGAUGGAGGGGGAUAACUACUGGAAACGGUAGCUAAUACCGCAUAACGUCGCAAGACCAAAGAGGGGGACCUUCGGGCCUCUUGCCAGUGGAUGUGACCAGAUGGGAUUAGCUAGUAGGUGGGGUAACGGCUCACCUAGGCGACGAUCCCUAGCUGGUCUGAGAGGAUGACCAGCCACACUGGAACUGAGACACGGUCCAGACUCCUACGGGAGGCAGCAGUGGGGAAUAUUGCACAAAGGGCGCAAGCCUGAUGCAGCCAUGCCGCGUGUAUGAAGAAGGCCUUCGGGUUGUAAAGUACUUUCAGCGGGGAGGAAGGGAGUAAAGUUAAUACCUUUGCUCAUUGACGUUACCCGCAGAAGAAGCACCGGCUAACUCCGUG
rnacentral:rRNA from 1 species